GUGGAUGUUGGGUUAAGUCCCGCAACGAGCGCAACCCUUAUCCCUAGUUGCCAUCAGGUAAAGCUGGGAACUCUGGGGAGACUGCCGGUGAUAAACCGGAGAAGGCGGGGAUGACGUCAAGUCCUCAUGGCCCUUACAUCCCGGGCUACACACGUGCUACAAUGGCAGGUACAGAGGGCUGCGAAGCCGCGAGGUGGAGCGAAUCCCAGAAAACCUGUCUCAGUCCGGAUUGAAGUCUGCAACUCGACUUCAUGAAGGCGGAAUCGCUAGUAACCGCGAAUCAGCAGGUCGCGGUGAAUACGUUCCCGGGCCUU
rnacentral:rRNA from 1 species